rnacentral:rRNA from 1 species
GUGGGGAAUAUUGGACAAUGGGCGAAAGCCUGAUCCAGCCAUGCAGCGUGUGUGAAGAAGGACUUCGGAUUGUAAAGGAAGUUAAGGUGGGAGGAAGGGCAGUAAGUGAAUACCUUGCUGUUUUGACGUUACCGACAGAAUAAGCACCGGCUAACUUCGUGCCAGCAGCCGCGGUAAUACGAAGGGUGCAAGCGUUAAUCGGAAUUACUGGGCGUAAAGCGCGCGUAGGUGGUUUUGUAAGUUGGAGAUGUAAUCCCCGGGCUCAACCUGGGAACUGCCUCCAAAACUGCAUGACUAGAGUACGGUAGAUCGUAGUUCUCUUUCCUUUUUUGCGGUGAAAUGCGUAGAUAUAUUAUUGAACCCCAGUGGCGAAGGCGACUACCUGGAAUGAUAAUGACACGGAGGUGCGAAAGCGUGGGGAGCAAACAGGAUUAGAUACCCGUGUAGUCC